rnacentral:tRNA from 1 species
GGAAGGGCCACCCGAUAGGUGACGGGACCCGGUUGGAAGCCGGUUGAGCGAAAGCCUUGCGGGUUCGAUUCCCGCCCCUUCCG